rnacentral:misc_RNA from 1 species
AUCUAAUAUCGCACCCCAUAAAACGAGCCUCUUCCAAAGCCGUGGAUGCAUGACGCCAAUAAAGAACAAAUCCUGCAAGCAAUCACCCAGGCUAGAUAAGAAACAUAAAAAAUGGUAAAUUUAUAGACAAUCUCACCAGAUGCUGGAUCAACCACAAAUGGAAAAGUAAAACCCAUAAUUAAAACCAUGGCAAAUCAAUCG